UACGGGGGGGGCAAGCGUUGUUCGGAAUUACUGGGCGUAAAGGGCUCGUAGGCGGCCAACUAAGUCGGAUGUGAAAUCCCCAGGCUCAACUUGGGAACUGCAUCCGAUACUGGAUGGCUUGAAUUCGGGAGAGGGAUGCAGAAUUCCAGGUGUAGCGGUGAAAUGCGUAGAUAUCUGGAGGAACACCGGUGGCGAAGGCGGCAUCCUGGACCAACACUGACGCUGAGGAGCGAAAGCCAGGGGAGCGAACGGG
rnacentral:rRNA from 1 species